rnacentral:pre_miRNA from 1 species
CUUGGUGAUUGCCAUCAGCGAGGUAUAGAGUUCCUACGGUGAUCGUUAGAAAUUGGUAGGAACUUCAUACCGUGCUCUUGGAUAGCCGAUAGUC